GACGAACGCUGGCGGCGUGCUUAACACAUGCAAGUCGAACGGAAAGGCCCUGCUUUUGUGGGGUGCUCGAGUGGCGAACGGGUGAGUAACACGUGAGUAACCUGCCCUUGACUUUGGGAUAACUUCAGGAAACUGGGACUAAUACCGGAUAGGAGCUCCUGCUGCAUGGUGGGGGUUGGAAAGUUUCGGCGGUUGGGGAUGGACUCGCGGCUUAUCAGCUUGUUGGUGGGGUAGUGGCUUACCAAGGCUUUGACGGGUAGCCGGCCUGAGAGGGUGACCGGCCACAUUGGGACUGAGAUACGGCCCAGACUCCUAUGGGAGGCAGCAGUGGGGAAUAUUGCACAAUGGGCGGAAGCCUGAUGCAGCAACGCCGCGUGCGGGAUGACGGCCUUCGGGUUGUAAACCGCUUUCGCCUGUGACGAAGCGUGAGUGACGGUAAUGGGUAAAGAAGCACCGGCUAACUACGUG
rnacentral:rRNA from 1 species